UGAAUACGAGAUGCUACGGCAUCGAAGCAGUCUAUGUCAUACUUCCAAGAAAAGCUUGCACUGUCAUAAACAAAUAAUGCCUGUACCAUAACCGACACAGGUGGGUAGGUAGAGUAUACUAAGGGGCGCGAGAUAACUCUCUCUAAGGAACUCGGCAAAAUGACUCCGUAACUUCGGGAGAAGGAGUGCCUUAUUUUAUAAGGUUGCAAUAACAAGAUCCAAGCAACUGUUUACCAAAAACACAGGUCUCCGCUAAGUCGUAAGACGAUGUAUGGGGGCUGACGCCUGCCCAGUGCCAGAAGGUUAAAGAAGUUGGUUAGCAUUAGCGAAGCUGAUAACUGAAGCCCUGGUGAACGGCGGCCGUAACUAUAACGGUCCUAAGGUAGCGAAAUUCCUUGUCGGGUAAGUUCCGACCCGCACGAAAGGCGUAAUGAUUUGGAUACUGUCUCGGAGAGGGGCUCGGUGAAAUAGACUUGUCUGUGAAGAUGCGGACUACCUGCACCAGGACAGAAAGACCCUAUGAAGCUUUACUGUAACUUGAGAUUGAAAUUGGACUUUAUUUGCGCAGUAUAGGUGGGAGACGUUGAAGAUAUUCUUGCGGGAAUAUUGGAGUCAUCAGUGAGAUGCCACUCUUAUAAUGUUAGAUUUCUAACUUUGUAUCAUUAUCUGGUCAAAGAACAGCCUCAGGCGGGCAGUUUGACUGGGGCGGUCGCCUCCCAAACGGUAACGGAGGCGCACAAAGGUUUCCUCUGAACGUGUAGAAAUCGUAUCUAGAGUGUAAAGGCAUAAGGAAGCUUGACUGUGAGACCUACAAGUCGAGCAGGGACGAAAGUCGGUCUUGGUGAUCUGACGGUGCUGAGUGGAAAGGCCGUCACUCAACGGAUAAAAGUUACUCUAGGAUAACAGGCUGAUCUCCCCCAAGAGUUCACAUCGACGGGGAGGUUUGGCACCUCGAUGUCGGCUCAUCGCAUCCUGGGGCGGUAGUACGUCCCAAGGGUUGGGCUGUUCGCCCAUGAAAGCGGUACGCGAGCUGGGUUCAGAACGUCGCGAGACAGUUCGGUCCAUAUCCGGUGUAGGCGUUAGAAUAUUGAGAGGAGCCUUCUUUAGUACGAGAGGACCGAGAAGGACAUACCUCUGGUGUACCAGUUAUCGUGCCAACGGUAAACGCUGGGUAGCUAUGUAUGGAGAGGAUAACCGCUGAAAGCAUCUAAGUGGGAAGCCCACCUCAAGAUAAGUAUUCUC
rnacentral:rRNA from 1 species